rnacentral:rRNA from 1 species
UACGUAGGGGGCAAGCGUUGUCCGGAUUUAUUGGGCGUAAAGAGCGUGUAGGCGGUUUGGUAGGUCCGUUGUGAAAACUCGAGGCUCAACCUCGAGACGCCGAUGGAAACCAGCAGACUAGAGUCCGGAAGAGGAGAGUGGAAUUCCUGGUGUAGCGGUGAAAUGCGCAGAUAUCAGGAAGAACACCCGUGGCGAAGGCGGCUCUCUGGGACGGUACUGACGCUGAGACGCGAAAGCGUGGGGAGCGAACAGG